CAGUACUUCUAACUCAGUGUCUGUAAGUGGCUUAUAAGGAUUUUCAAGUAAUUUUGCAAAAAUGGCCAAAGAAGAGGAUUCCAUACCUAACCUUUAAGGUAAAGAUAUUAAGGCUCGCCGAGACGUUGACACACAGCAGCAUGUGAAGCUGAGGGCCGGUACCAGCGCUGUAUGAAUACAUACGAGGUGUGCUUCCUGACCGUCCCGUCUCUUCCAGAUUCCGGGGCGGAGGUCCAGGUCGUCCGGGGGCCCGCGGGGGGGGUGGAGGUGGAGUAGGAGGAGGAGGAGGAGGAGGAGGAGGGUACUCGGAGGAGUACGGGGCCCAGGACGAUAGCUUUGAGGCCCCGGAUGAGAUGGGCCGCGGCUGGGAGGGCGGCGGCGGCGGCGGCCGGGGCAGACCCCCCCGCGGUGGAGGUCCGCCUCGAGGUGGAGGAGGAGGUACGGAACCCAACAUAGUGCAUUGUGGGACGGACGCCACCUCUGCUCUGCUGGGCGGCGGCGGUGCAGAGAGAGGAGGCGGGCGUGCGUUUGGGAGUGUGUGUGUGUGUGUGUGUUGGCGAUUGUGUGCGUGUUCAUAAUUAGUUUGUGUGUUCGUAACCUCUCUGCAACGUGACAUAUGCGACGCGUUCCUAAUAGGUGUGCGUGUCUUCAUAACCCGUGUGUGUGUGUGUGUGUGUGUGUGUCCUCUCCAGGCCACGAGGGUUACCUCGGUGACGGCCAGCCGAUGCUGGACAGCUCCUCCCCCGGCGGAAGGGGGGAGCGCCCCCCGCCCUCCUCCAUGCAGGGCAUGGACAUGGCGUCCCUCCCUCCACGCAAACGGCCCUGGCACGACGGCCCGGGCACCGGAGACCCCCGGGACCCCCGCGAACCUCCCGGUGGAGGAGGAGGAGCUGGAGCAGGAGGGCCUGAGGGUCGCCCCCCCCAGAGAGGCGAGGAGGGGGGCUAUGGGCCGGCCGUACGAGGAGGUCGUGGGGGUGGGGGCUGGGGUCCAGGAGGAGGUGCAGGAGGUCCCCCUCUCAGGAGAGGAGCCCCCAGAGGAGUCCCCCGUGGUGGCCGCGGCCGGUAGUGACCGCUCCCCCCCCCCAACCCCCCCCUUUCACAUUGGUGUUGGGUGUCCCGCCCACUGACCUGGUUCACACUGGCCGCCACUGUGUUGAUCGACACAAGACUUGACCAAUGGGCCGGCAGAGUGACCAGAUUUAGUUUCUGAAUCAGUGAAGUAGGAUUUUUUUUUCUUUCUUCUUCUCACCCCAGUGGAAAAGACCUUGUAGCCGCCGCGAGGCUUUGAUGGCACCAUGUGCGUGCCCAUUGGCCAUGCAUCACAGCGACCAUGUGACCUCGGCGCGGCCUCUGACAUGUAACCCCCCCCCCCACCCCACCCCCGGGCGUCAUGUACACACUGUGUGACUCCUCCCCCCCAACCCCACCAGGCGUCACAUACACAUUGUGUGACCACCCCUCGGACACUAACGCGGGUCGCCUGACGAAGUCUCGAACCCGAACUUUUAGUCAGAGCCCCGUGUUUCACGAUGCACCGUGUUGGACACCCGACUGAUGCGGCGGCCUGGGCGGGAGGUCCAGGGAAUUAAUCGUCUCUCCGGUCGCUCCUGAAGGCUCGUCCCGACACGUCAGCUGUCGCGUUCUCCUCCCAGUGAGGACCUCUGCAUUCCCCAAUCCGCUCCGUUUAUUUAAGUUCAUUUUUUAAUUGUGAUCAACGGAGGACAUCAAUCCUCACCCCAUCCCAGGAACCUUCCGACCUCGGGGUGUCUUUCCUCUGUUUGUAAAUGUACAGUUUGUCUUGGGUUGCUUUUGUCCAUUUUGUAUAAGACUAUAUAAUAGAGUUUGUGCAAAG
ensembl:lncRNA